UCCUGGCUCGAGGAUCGAACGCUAGCGGCAGGCUUAACACAUGCAAGUCGAGGGUAUAGUUCUUCGGAAUAGAGACCGGCGCACGGGUGCGUAACGCGUAUGCAAUCUACCUUCACAGAGGGAUAGCCCAGAGAAAUUUGGAUUAAUACCUCAUAGUAUAGCAGUUUCGCAUGAAACCACUAUUAAAGUCACAACGGUGAGAGAUGAGCAUGCGUCCCAUUAGCUAGUUGGUAAGGUAACGGCUUACCAAGGCAACGAUGGGUAGGGGGUCCUGAGAGGGAGAUCCCCCACACUGGUACUGAGACACGGACCAGACUCCUACGGGAGGCAGCAGUGAGGAAUAUUGGUCAAUGGACGCAAGUCUGAACCAGCCAUGCCGCGUGCAGGAUGACGGUCCUAUGGAUUGUAAACUGCUUUUGUACGAGAAGAAACAACAUUACGUGUAAUGUCUUGACGGUAUCGUAAGAAUAAGGAUCGGCUAACUCCGUG
rnacentral:rRNA from 1 species